UACGAAGGGGGCUAGCGUUGCUCGGAAUCACUGGGCGUAAAGGGUGCGUAGGCGGGUCUUUAAGUCAGGGGUGAAAUCCUGGAGCUCAACUCCAGAACUGCCUUUGAUACUGAGGAUCUUGAGUUCGGGAGAGGUGAGUGGAACUGCGAGUGUAGAGGUGAAAUUCGUAGAUAUUCGCAAGAACACCAGUGGCGAAGGCGGCUCACUGGCCCGACACUGACGCUGAGGCGCGAAAGCCAGGGGAGCGAACGGG
rnacentral:rRNA from 1 species